UGCCCAACAGCUAGCCCACCUAAACAAACUCAACAAGCCCCUGUUAAUAACCCCAAAUACCCUAGUAUUUAAAUUAAACAAACCAUUUUUCCCCCUUAGUAUAGGUGAUAGAAAAGGACAAACGGCGCAAUAGAGAAAGUACCGCAAGGGAACGCUGAAAGAGAAAUGAAACAACCCAGUGAAGCCUAAAAAAGCAGAGAUUAAAGCUCGUACCUUUUGCAUCAUGAUUUAGCAAGUGUACAUCAAGCAAAGUGAACUUUAGUUUGACGUCCCGAAACUACGUGAGCUACUCCAAGACAGCCUAUUAAUAGGGCGUACCCGUCUCUGUAGCAAAAGAGUGGGGAGAGCUUUGAGUAGAGGUGAUAAACCUACCGAACCUAGUUAUAGCUGGUUGUCCAGGAAAUGAAUAGAAGUUCAGCCUCUUGGCUUCUCUUUUCACACUAGUUUAACCCCUAUUGAUGCCUUAAAGAAACCAAGAGAGUUAGUCAAAGGGGGUACAGCCCCUUUGAAUCAAGACACAACUUUAUUAGGAGGGUAAAGAUCAUA
rnacentral:rRNA from 1 species